GAUCAUAAAGAACAGUUGUAUAAACAUCAUACUUAAAAUCACAGAAAUUAAAUAUGAGAUGAAAGAAAAAUAUUUAUUUAAGAGUAAGAGGGUUCAUACAACUCCAAGAAUAUAAAAAUUAAAUACAUAAAAUCCGUGUCCCUUUGUUAGGGCUGCAUCCAGCCCUAGUGAAGAGCUUAGGCUUCCAUGCAGUGGUGGACGGCAGCAGCAGCACAACAGCGGGCUCCCAUCUCUUUCUUCUCUUCUUCUUGUGAUUCCCCUGAGAACAGCUCCUUCUUAGCUCUUAUGAGAAAUCAUUCCCAAAAUACCCAAAAUGUUUCUCUCUCCUUUUAUUUCUUCUUCUUCUCGUGGGAUUUGGCCUAAGAGAGAUGUGGAACCAAACCUAAGCUUGCCCAGCGAAGAGAUCCACCCCAGUGGGGAAGAGGAGGAAUGCCUUGGUCUUCACGUCCGACUCCUUUAAAUAGACUGCCCACCUCCCUGUUCCGAGUGCAGAUAAGGGUCAAUGGCUGCGGGAUAAGGUAGAUGAUUCUGCUCUGUGAUCCUUCGACGAUGGGAUAAGGAUGGAGGCCGAACAAGGGAGUUGAUCCGGAAUAGAGGAAUCCGUGAAGCUCGGUGAUAUCUUGGGAACAAACGUGGGAGAUGAUCGCGGAUGGGGAGUUCUAAUCCGGAUUCGGUUUGAGGAGGACUCGGAAGAGGAAAUGAACUGGGAGCAAUCCUUUGGUUUUGUUCUGUUUCUGUGAAAUCUUGCACGCAGAAGCUUAGAUUUGCUGGGAGGAAUCCGUUGGUGAGAGCUGGACACAAGAGGAUGGGGAUGAUGCAGUUGGGAUAAUGUUCACGAACGGAAUGAGAUGGGAUUUGUUGGUUUUAGAGUUGUAAACGGCUUGAAUGCUCAUCCUUGGAGCUCGGGGAUGUUUCCAUUGGCUGGACGGGAUCCGUGGACGUGGAGAUCGUGGGAUCCAUGGACGAGAUGAGAGCUGGGAGAUCCGGGAUAAGGAUGAUAGGAUGGAGUGCUAGAUUUGGGCUUAUCCGUGGGUGAUGGAAAGCUAAAUUCAAUCUGGAAUGAGAAGAAGGUUGGGAUCCACGUGUGGAAGUUUGGGAUGUUGCGGAUACAGGGGAUGCGGAAUAGCGAGCUCUUCCGUGAUGCUUGGGGAGAAGGAUUUGCUCGGAAAAACAGGGGAUAAGCUUGGAUUUUUGUUGAUGGAGCUGAACGGUAAUGGAGGGAAUAUGAGCUGGAAGUUUGGAUGAAGAAGGGGAGUUGGGAUGAACUCACGGAAAAGGAAAUCCGUGAGCUACUCUGUUCUUUUCUUCCGUGAAGGCUGGGAUUUAAGUUUAUCCCAUGGAGAUGGAACCAAUCCGAGCGGGAUGAGCAUGGGAUUUGAGUUCAUCCUGUGAGCGUUUGAGAAGAUUUCGGAGGAAGAGGAUGCUGGGACGGGAUUGGCUGGGAAUUCGUGGAGUUGGCUGGGGAAUGAAAAGAUGAGCUUUGGACACGGAUCCGCUGGGAGGAAUGCGGAGAUUUGGUUGUUUGGAGUCCUCACGGGGUUCGGAUAAGGAAGGGGAACAUGGGAGUGGGACUCAUAGCUAUGUAAGAUGUUGGAAUGUAUGCACUUGGGACGAAGUUGUUUGGGAUGCUUGGAUUGGCUUGGACAGUGGACACGGGUUCAGUUGUAAAAUACGACCUGCACACAUUAGUUCAGACAUCAUCCCAGUUAGUUUGACUUGACCUGCACACAUUAGACUUGACCAAUAAAAUCAAAAAAAAUCAAUCAAACUUGAAUAAUUUAUUUAAAAUGCAAUGAUGAAGGUAACACAAUUUUUUUUAGUUAAAUUUAUAAAAUAUAUGAAUUAAAAUAAUGAUAAGUGCUAUGAAGAAGAUAUUAAUUUAUGCAUUAUUUAACACUUAUCACACCCCCAACCUACAUUUUGCUAGUCCUCAAGCAAAAAAUAAAAAAAUAGAAAAAGAAAUUAACUCACUUUCGCAGGAAUCACGAUUGCAUUUACUAUAUGCAAUAAGGCUUUAAACCCCUAGGUGGUCCUAGUGGACGAGUUUUGUCUCGUGAGGGUUUUCGGCUCAGAUAUCCACAAACUAUGUCAAAAGAAUUUAUUUAUUAUUUUAUAAAAUCUAAUUUCAAAUGCCUAAGUGUCAAGAAUUUCAAAAGCACACAAAGUUUUAAUUACUAAGUCAGCCCAAAUCCUAGGUCAAGAUGCAACUUAAGUUGAAGUUAUUAAGUUUCUGUUAGAGAGUUGUAAGACUUAUUUAUAUUUGGAUGCUCGGUGAAAUCUGGACCAUGCACAAGCUAAGGCUUUAGAUCCUCCAAAAUACUGCUAAAGUUAGUAGUUUCCAAGAAUUGGUCAGAUAAGACCUAAUCACUGAUUCAAAAUCAUCCUAUCUUGCAGGAUUUCAAGAGUUGUGGAUGUUCACUUUAAUACCUCAUGGGCUUUAUCUGUAAUAUUCCAGUUUACUCGAAUUUUUACAACGACGGCUUUCACACUAUCGUCUUUUUCAAGGUCAAUUUUAUUUUUAUUUUUUUAUUUUUUUUAUUUUUUUUAUUAUUUUGGAUUUAUAAAUUACAUACUUUUACUCUUGUAAUGAUUCCUCCGUGUAGUGAGCAUUCAGUCAACACUCCUACACCAGAUAGCGUAAGGUGUUGGGCAUCAAGACUCCCCUACGGACCUAUGCUCGGGUUCCUCAUACAAGCCUGCUGACCUUUGACAAUAGGUAGCCCUUUUCGAUGUACCUGACUAAAUUCAUUUUUUUUUAUAUAUAAUAUGGGAUAAUAGUGAAUUAGAUAGGAAUGAUUCAUCAGGACUCAAGUUUGCUACUAGACUUAACAACAUAAUGUUGAACCUAACCCUUAGAAGUGCAGGCCAUGUGUGUUGUGAAAUUCCAAAGUAAAAAUUAUCUUACAACUCGCUAAAAGAAUUUUUAAGAACUCAAAUUGACUUACUCCUGACUAGUUAUUGGGCUUUUUAGAUUUUAUAUACUUUGUGUAUUUAUCAUUUCAGCACUAAAGCAUAGAAAUUAGGUUUUUUUUUUUGAAUAAAAAACUUAUUCGAAAAUGCGAAAAAUUUCUUCAAAAAUUCGAAUCCUAUACCCCCCAACCUAGAUCAGACAUUGUCCUCAAUGUUUUUUUAUUAUAUUAUAUAUAAUUUUAUUUUAUUUUUUGUUAUUUUAUUUUGGACGAAAAUAUGAUGCAUAUGGAGGAUAGAAGCAUUGUACCUUAGUUGCAUCAGUAAUAUGAGGACUCUUGAAAAAAUAUGAUAAGAAAAUGUGCAAAAAUAAUCUAUGGAAAUUGGGUUGCCUCCCAACAAGUGCUAAGUUUAACGUCUUCAGCCAGACGCAGUGCAUCCUUAAUUAUAUCAUACCGGGCUCAUGCCGAGUUUUCCAAGGAAGAAAAUUUGUGGAAAACUGAUUGUCGGGCACAGAGUUGACUGCUGCUAUGGCCUUUUCUAUAUCAAAGUCAAAAUGGGCCAAGCAUGUUUUCAGAAGGUCAUCUGCCAAAAUAUAGGAAAGGGCUUCUUCUAAAAGAUCGUCCAUUUUAUCUAUUAGGAAGCACUCAACUUCCUUUGCGGGUUGAUCAGAGGCACGAAAUAUAUUUAACUUGACCUUCAUAUUCCCAAAGGAUAUAUUCAUCACCCCAGUUCUACAAUUUAUACUCGCAUUGGCUGUAGCUAAAAAGGGACGACCUAUAAUCAUAGGGACCUGUUUCUUAAGAUUAGGCACAAGUUCCAUAUCAAGGAUAAUAAAAUCGACUGGAAAAUAGAAUUUGUCUACCUUGACUAGGACAUCUUCAAUUGUUCCUCGUGGUAUUUUCACAGAUCGAUCAGCCAAUUGCAGGGACACCGAAGUAGGCUUCCAUUCACCUAAUCUGAAUUUCUCAUAAACUGAAUAAGGCAGAAGAUUAACACUUGCCCCUAAAUCUAAUAGUGCUCGAUCAAUAGAACUGUCUCCUACCACACAAGAGAUGGUAGGGGCACCGGGAUCUUUGAACUUGGGAGGGGUUUUGUGCUGGAGGAUGGAGCUUACUUGUUCAGUUAGGAAGACCUUUUUAGGUACAUAUGUCCUAGAUUUACGUUUCUGGGUACAAAGGUCUUUGAGAAAUUUGGCAUAAGAUGGAACUUGUUUUAUGGCAUCAAGGAGAGGAGGUUGAUUUUGACUUGUUUGAAUACCUCCAUUAUUUCUUCCAACGAAGUUCCUUUCUUGCCAAAGGAAGAAGGUGCACUCAGACACUGAGGGAAAGGAGCCUUCGGUGUAAACGAUGUGGUCGGUACUAGACUAGAUGGCGACAAAGACGAGUUUAGGUUCUCUUUAGGCACAGUCAUACUCCUGUCUUCAUUUUCUUUAUAUUUUUUUUCUCCAAUCUUAUUGUCCACUACGCGUCCGCUUCUUAAGGUAAUCAUGGCAUUAGCUUGUUCAUGGUGAACAUCAUUCGGGUGAGUCUCUUGAGCCAUGUACUGCCCUCUCGGGUUACUCACUAGUUGGCUUGGAAGCUUGCCUUCCUCUCUUUUAUUUAGUGCACUCGCUAGCUGUCCUAGGUGGGUUUCUAAUUUGGCAAUAGACUGGGUGUGGGAGUGCAACAAUUGUGUAUUGGCUUCGAGUCCUUGAAGGGCAGUCAAAACGUUUUGCUCAAAAGCCAUAUCUCUUUGGGGUGCUGGAGGAGGGACAUGUUGAAAUUGUGAAUAGUGAGUAGGAGGACGGUUCGGAUGAAUAUUCUGGAAUGGUUGAAAGUUUUGGGAAUAAGGCUGGGAAGUAUUGGAAGUCUGCUGCUUCCAAGAAAAAUUUGGAUGGUUGCACCACCCCGGGUUAUAAGUGUUAGAAUACGGAUCAUUACCCGGUCGGGACUGUGCUUGAGUAGCAUUAACUUGUUCUUGCACAAAUUCAGGGAAUUGAGCUGCCGAAGGACACUCAAAAACAGUAUGAGAUGGACUAGAACAGAGAGCACAAACUUGUGCUUGAGAAAAGUUUGGAAGCUGUUCUCUAAACAUUAGCUGGUCCAAUUUGCGGGAUAGUACAUCUACUUUGUCGGAUAGACCUAUGGACUGGCUAACUUCACAUAUGAUCCCUUUUCUUUGAGAACUCGGGGGUGCUUGACGAGCGGAGGAGGCAUGGUGGAGGAAAUUUUCAUUAAGGUUUUCAAACAUCUGCCAUGCCUCAUGCUCACUCUUAAGCAUGAAAGUUUCCCCACAAGAAGCAUCAACCAUCUGACGGUUUCGUUCAGAUAAUCCGUCAUAAAAGCAUUGCACCAAUUGCCAUUUGGGUAUUUGAUGAUGCGGGCAUUUUCGGAGUAAGUCUCUAAAUUUUUUCCAUGUUUUAUGAAAUUCUUCCCCGUCAGAAUAGGAGAAGCUCGUGAUCGCACGCCUAAAUUGGUUCGUUCUUCCUAUGAGAAAAUAUUUUUUAGAAAUUCAUGCUGCAUUUGAGCCCAAGAGAGAAUGGAAUUGGCUUCUAAUGAAUGGAGCCACUGCUUAGCUCUAUCCUUAAGGAAAAAAGGAAACAGCCUAAGUUUCAGAGCAUCAUCAGUGAAGUUCUGAAUUUUGACAGUAGUGCAGAUAUCAAGGAACUCAUCUAAAUGUUUGUAUGGGUCUUCAUUGUUGAAUCCAUAAAAAGAGGGAAGCAUUUGGAUGACACUAGACUUAAUUUCAAAUUAUACAGCCGCAGUGGUAUCAGGUAGUUGAAUACAAGAUGGAGAGGUAUAAAUGGAAGGAGUAAAGUACUCCCUCAGGAGUUUGGGUUGUUCUUCAGCCAUCUCGACAGGUGGAGUAGAUCCUAUGGUUUUAUAGGUGCGGAUUUCAGCUCGAAGGGCCCUAAUAGAACGCUCUAUUUCAGAAUCAAAAUGUACUAAUUCAGAAGAUCUGGAACGACACCCUAGCAUACACUAAUACUCUUCUGAUCUGUCAAGUACAGUCAAGCAUGCACUAAAAAGAAAAACACAUCAAAUUCUUGUAUUUUUUCUAAAAUCACUAGACAGCUCCUAACUGGUUUGAAGAGGGCACCUAAGCCUCCAACCCGGUCUAAUGAACUGAGUUGACCAGGUAAGCUCCCAGGUAAGUGGGGGGGUCACGAUGCAUUCGCAAAGGUCCCACUUAAAAACCACUUGCCUCGAACAGAUGAACUGUCUCCCUUAAAGGGACAAAGCUUGCCUAGACAUCAACUGAGCCGCAGAGCGAAAUUGGUGCAACUUUCGGUGAUUUUCGUCCUAUUGAGCUCGAAUUCCCUAGGGGCCAACGUCUAAUUGAUUUUAAUUAAAGUGAUGGCUAUGUGAGAAUUGAUUCACCUAAUUUGGGCAAGAAUCUGGUGAUGAAAUCCAGUUCUUAUCUUGUUGGGGUGAUUGCCCUUACUAUGUGCGGAUUAAUUGGUGUAUGUGUAUCAAGCAUGCAUUCACACUUUUGGUUAAAUUAAAAUCAAACAAUCACCACAAAAUUUCAAGCUAAUUGGAAAUCAAUUUAAAUAAGCAAGGUUCAGAUGUUACCAAAGGAAAUUUUCCAGCAAAUUUUUUUUUAAAGCAAACCUCUACAGCAUUCCUUUUCCAGCAGUUCCCUUUUUGAUCGUCCCAGACUUCCUCUUCGAUUUCUGAUUACACUCAACUGACGGGACUUCGAGGCAGGUAUUUUACUGUAUACCUAUACCGACGGAAUGAAGGCACGAGACUGAGACGGAGACCACAGCUUAAUGUGAGUACGAACUAUACCACAAGCUUAUAAGCUUCGAGAGCCCAGACCAAGGAGCUCUCUAGCGCUAUGUUGUUCGCUUUUGUCAACUGAAGUCGCGUGUAGCGCCAACUAACUGAUAGCUGAUAGAGCGCGGAGCCCCGUUUGAGUCUAAGCGAGCAUAGCCAUUUGUUUCUACUGUCGUACUACUAAAAUCAAUCAAAAAAGUACCAAAGGCGAACGGCCAAAAAGCGCAUAGUUUCUCCUCCAAAAAGAACCUCUCCAGUCGGGAAAGGCAUGCGAGGAAAAUCAAAAAUUAGUAAGAGAGAAAAAUGAGAUAAGUAAAGUAAAAAUAGAAAAUAUUUUUUAUUUUAUUUUAGAUAUAUAUAUAUAUAUAUUUUGAAAGUUUAAUUUAUGAAAAGAAAAACAACUAUACUAGCAAUCCCCGGCAACGGCGCCAAAAAUUGCUAGUCAACUUUAAAGACCACACAAUAGCACGUAUCUAGUAGAAUAGUGAUUACGGGUAUCGAUCCACAGGGAUUGGGGUAUAGUUGUUUUCUUAAAAAUAUUAAAAAAAAAGAGUUUGUGAAGAAAAUUAAACUAAGAAAUUUUAAUAAAAAAAUGCGAUUAAAAUGAUAUCAAUUUAGAAGAACCUAGGGCAAAAAAUUCACCACUAACAUCGAAACAAGGGUUAAUUAUAUUUUAAUUUAUUCUUGGAUUAACAUGCAAAUUGACUACAAGCCUAAUAAGCAUUCGAAUAAAUAUCUCACAAAAGUAAUUUAGGAACAUCCAUCUUCGGUCGGCAUGAAAUAUCUACCCUAAACUAAUGUGGCAGGACACUGCAUCUUUUCUAAGCAUGGGUGAUCUUGUAUUAACUUAGUGAUCAUGAAGAACAGUUGUAUAAAUAUCAUACUUAAAUCACAGAAAUUAAAUAUGAGAUGAAAGAAAAAUAUUUAUUUAAGAGUAAGAGGGUUCAUACAACUCCAAGAAUAUAAAAAUUAAAUACAUAAAAUCCGUGUCCCUUUGUUAGGGCUGCAACCAGCCCUAGUGAAGAGCUUAGGCUUCCAUGCAGUGGUGGACGGCAGCAGCAACACAGCAGCGGGCUCCCAUCUCUUUCUUCUCUUCUUCUUGCGAUUUCCCUAAGAACAGCUCCUUCUUAGCUCUUAUGAGAAAUCAUUCCCAAAAUACCCAAAAUGUUUCUCUCUCCUUUUAUUUCUUCUUCUUCCCGUGGGAUUUGUUCUAAGAGAGAUGUGGAACCAACCCAAGCUUGCCCAGCGAAGAGAUCCACCCCGGUGGGGAAGAGGAGGAAUGCCUUGGUCUUCACGUCCGACUCCUUUAAAUAGACUGCCCACCUCCCUGUUCCGAGUGCAGAUAAGGGUCA
rnacentral:lncRNA from 1 species